ACACGACGGCAUACGCGUGCGCGCCCUCACGGGAGCGCGCGGAUACUUGGGCCGGGCGGAAUCUCCUGGGUGCGCUGAGUCCCAGCCUCGGUCCAGCCCGGCCGCCCUCGGCUGGCGGAGCUCUUCUGCCACGCGGGCGUCAGGUGCAUUCAUUUCACCCUGAAAUUUGAGAAAGAAGAGUUAUCAGCUCUCCUCUGUUCUCACUUCCAAAACAUCCGCUCCCCAUAACGCUGAGAAUGAGAAGCUUGCGCUGGCAUGUAGGAUAUCCAGUUCUUACACACCGUGGUUCAACUACUCCAUGGAAUUCGGAGAGGAAAACUCCUUCAGUGGACUAUAAAGAGAGCAGUUUUACUCAGGAACCAGAAAUUGUGCCUCCAGUGCAGUUUUUGCUUCCGAUGGAGUUUGAUCCAGGACUCAAAAAUGUCUACUUGCUUAGUGAUGACUCCAUUGUCAGGUAGGCUCUCCUUUCUUGGUGCCAAGCUGGCAGCUAACAGCUCCUAGAGUUAUAUACAUCCAUCUGGUGGAAAGGAUUUCCCUGAUAGCUGGAACAAGGGUCCCCAAACUUAGCUUUAUUAGCCCUGAAUAUCCUGUCUUGGGACAUAUGCUCAUUCCCUAACCAAUUUGGGCAUUAAUGGAGUUAAAGGGAUAUGAGAUGUGAUAAUUGACUUGAGUUGUUAUCCAAGAGUUGCAUAUGCACAGAAAGAGGAAAGUGAAAAGGAAAAUAUUGGAUCAGCCAUUAUUUUAAAAUAUGCUUUCCAUAGGAGAAAUGCCAUAGUCAUCAACCACAAUAUUUAUGGAGCUUCUAAUUUUAGAAGCAGCUUGAAGGUCAUUAGACUGAUUUUUAUUGCCUCUGCU
rnacentral:lncRNA from 1 species